GACAGAGGGUGCAAACGUUGUUCGGAAUUACUGGGCGUAAAGCGAGUGUAGGCGGUUCGGUAAGUCGGAUGUGAAAGCCCCGGGCUCAACCCGGGAAGUGCACUCGAUACUGCCGAGCUAGAGUAUCGGAGAGGUUGGUGGAAUUCUCGGUGUAGAGGUGAAAAUUCGUAGAUAUCGAGAGGACACAGCGGUGGCAAGGCGGCCAACUGGACGAAUACUGACGCUGAGACUCGAAAGCGUGGGGAGCAAACAGG
rnacentral:rRNA from 1 species